AGAAACAUCAAUUUAUUGUUCCAUUUAUUUAUCAAUUCAUUGGCUGAUUCUUGUAUGUGCUCUGACCUGGGAUCAAACCCACAACCUUGGUGGAUCAGGAGAAUGUUCUAACCAACUGAGCUGCCUUGCUAGGGCCUAUCACCCUUGUCUGAUGCAGAGAAUGUAUAUUCUAAGAGGAGCUUACUUUCGGGGGUUUUUUCUCCAAUUAAACAUUUAAGGCUCUUUUUGACUUAAUAUAUUAGAUGAUGAGAUUUUUUUAAAGAUGCUUUGCAUCAGCCGUGCCCAGUCUCCACAAGCAGACUGGUACCUCUUAGGGCUGCACAGCAGGAGCUGAGCUUGAAUGUAAUGUGCUUGAAUCAUCCUGAAACCAUCCCCUGCACCCCGUCCAUGGAAAAACUGUCUUCCACAAAUCUGUCCCUGAUGCUAAAAAGGUGGGGGGCUGCUGCUUUGGAUAGUCCCUAUAAACUUCACUAAGUCUUUCCCUCUUAAAGCAUACUUAGCAUACCUUAGUAUACUUUUCUCACUUAACUGCUUUCUCUACCAAUGUUCUUUGCCAAAAAAACUUUGUCUGCUCCUCCUAAUCCUUUUCCCAACUGUCAGCUUUCUGCAUUUUUCCUCAAGAGUGACCUUACAUACCUGAGUUUUCCGAAAUAAAAUUCUCAAGGUUAAAGCAAAGCAACAAUCUAAUUAUAAGCUUUGUAAGGGAAACAGGUGGUUUUAAGACCUGGGCAGAUAGGAGGGUGGGAAGUGACUGACAUGUACUUUAUUCCAAGUAAAUAUUUAAUAAUGUGUAUUGCUUUUGUGCUUCUCUUUUCUCACAUGCUCUUUAUCUGAAGCCAUUAGAUUUUCAUCUGUUAAGGAUUUGCAAAAGACUGCAGCAGGCUCAGAAGGGGCAUUUUAAUAGAGGCCUUAAUAUUUUCAGCAAAGUUGAACAUUGAGAAUUUCUUAUAAUUUAUGUGUUUGAAAAUAUCUGGGAUUAUUUCUGUUAAUUUUCUCAGAAUGAAUUCUGUUGUUUUAUUGGCAUGGUUCUACUUCAGUCCAAUCUAACCUUUUAAAGGAAGUUUAUCAUUUAAGUCAGAUUGAGGGGAAGUACAGGUAGUAGCAAUUCAUUGAUGUUGGAGCAAUUUUAACUUUCUCUUCCAGCCUGUCCUUUCCCCUCCAGUCUUCAUAUUAAAACUAUUUAGUUAAGAUUCUCAGUGACUAAUUAUUCCUAUCAUAGAAUUUUCUAAAUUAUCAUCAUUUAAAUAAAGUUGAUGGAAGCAUACUUUAUUCCCUACUUUAUUCUGAGCAUAGAAAGGAUUCUAUUCUAUAAAUAGAAUCCUUUGAUACAUUAACCCUAAAUCUUUUAUUUAACUAUAAAUAUCAGUACCCAAAAAAAGGGUUCCCUAUGUUAAUCCAUUUUAAUCCAUUGACUUGUGUUUUUUUUUUUUUGAGUCGGAAUGCAAAAAGGAAACAGUAGGAGGUAGAUAGUCUUUGGGCAACAGGAUACAGGGGUGGGGGCAGGAAGGGCAGCUAAAGCUUGGUUAUUCCCCUUCAGCCUCUGGGAUGUAAUUGUGUGGUGAAUGGGAAUACUUUUGGGAAGACUGCACAAAGCACUGGUAAUACCUUCACUGAAGAAAGAAAAUAUUUCUAAUGUAUUUCUCUAUGCUGAAUUGACAACCAUUGAAACAUGGCUAACUUUGAAUAACUCACACUUUCUAAUAUUUUUUUCAAGAGGAGUGGGUGUCUGCAUCUACUGCCACAGAUAAAAUGUAGCCUUUAUAGGUAAAUUAAAUGUAGAAUUAACUCAAUCCAAAAGUUCACUUAAAUGACAGGAAUUUGCUUAUAUGUCUUCUACCUCCUAGCCCUUAGCCCUGAUUUAUUUUGUUGUUGCUGCUCUUAUUGUAAUACUUUUUAGUUAAAUAUAGAACUGUGUUACUAUAAUAAAGGCCUUUUAUUGGGGUGGGGGAGAAUGAGGGUAAAAAAAGCCAAAUGCCUCUAAAGCAACUUCUCCCAACCUCUGCAGGCCAAAUAAACUAAGGAGGGAAGAACUAAGAUAAUGAUGGAGACCUAUAUCAGAUUGUUAUUCAGCCUUCCCAUACUUUGUAAGAAUCCGUCUAGCCAGUUUGCUUUUCCAGUAAAAAUCUCACGUGCAGGAAGACAAAGACUGCUCUUUAUAUGCAAAGCACACUUUUUAGGAAUGAGAUCAUCAAAAAUUAGAGGACAAAAACCAGUAUGUGUUAAACUCCAAUAAAAUUGACAGUGUUGAAAUUUUAAGUUCAAGAAAUAACAAUUGAACAUGAACUUCCUGAUUAUAGUGGGAAGAAAGUAGGUUUAGCACUUUUUUUGUCCAAUUAUGUUAAAAAUACUGAGGGUUCUGCCAGGAAUCAGUAAAAACUAAAAAUAACUUGGAUGUUGAAGAAUUCCUAGGCAUUAUUCUCUGACAUGAGACUAGGUUUUAUCUUAUUUAUAUUGUAUUAUAAUUAGGUUUUUGUAGUACAAAUAAGAAAGAAAAAAGUGUCUGUCAUUUUAAUGUAGUGCAUUGAUUCCUAAGUGGCCUGCAAUUAAUUGCUGUUCUCAACAAACAUCAGUUGAAAUACAUAUGUAUGAGCUGACUAGUCAAAUAGCAAUGAAAGUUACAAAAUGAAAAAGAAAUGUUCUCAACCCCCAACCCUUCCCCACAAAAUAACAUGAACAGUCUUAAAUCCAAAACUUAUUUGAAACUGGGCUAGAUGUCCAGAUGAAUCAGUAUUUUCCCUUCUUAAGAUUCAGAAAUUAAUGCAGAUUGAAGUUUUCACUAUCAAUUCAAGACUGAGGUGUUGAUGUGUGAAGUACUAUUGACCAAGCCAGGAAAAGUUUUAUGAAGGGCCAGAAAACACCUGCUCGGCCCUUUUUAACUACCUUUCACAAGGCAGUGGUAUCUGGGAGAUUCUGCCUUCACAAAGGAUAACUGAAAAGCAGGCAAUAUCAGUGAUAGCUAAUGUUGUAUUGAACUCGGUGUGUACACCAGGUGUUUUGCUAAGCUUUUCAUGCACCAUCACUUUUAUCCAUAACAAUCUCAUGAAAUACAAUCUUAUUUCCUGGUUUUCAAAUGUGGAUCUAAGGCUGAAGUGUGAAGUCUCCUUUGGCAAGUUUACUCAGUUAAUAAGCAGUGAAGUUGGGAUUCAGACGCCAGUCAUCUGAUU